CGGGGUGUGGCGAAGUUUGGUAUCGCGCUUGGUUCGGGACCAAGAGGCCCAGGGUUCAAGUCCCUGCACUCCGACCA
rnacentral:tRNA from 1 species